AUGCAGGACCUGUUACAAUACAACUGUAGUGUUCUAUUGUCGUUCCCCCUGCUUAAAGUAAUUGAUGCAUACUAUCUCUGUCUUACCACAAUUGCAUAGUAAGACAGAGACGCUUGGCCUCAAACAU